ACCCUGGUGGCGCAAUGGUUAAGCACUUGGCUUCUAACCCAAAGGUUGGUGGUUCGAAUCCACCCAGCGGCU
rnacentral:tRNA from 1 species